UAGGAAACGAUAGCUAAUACGCAUAACAAUGGAUGACACAUGUCAUUUAUUUGAAAGGGGCAAUUGCUCCACUACAAGAUGGACCUGCGUUGUAUUAGCUAGUAGGUGAGGUAACGGCUCACCUAGGCGACGAUACAUAGCCGACCUGAGAGGGUGAUCGGCCACACUGGGACUGAGACACGGCCCAGACUCCUACGGGAGGCAGCAUG
rnacentral:rRNA from 1 species